rnacentral:tRNA from 7 species
GCGAACGUAGUUCAGUGGUAGAACAUCACCUUGCCAAGGUGGGGGUCGCGGGUUCGAAUCCUAUACGUAGGUU